UAAGAUUUUCAAGGUAAAAAAAGUGUAAGAGUCAAUAUUAGAUUAUAUUAACAGCUCACAUAUUCCUAUUUUCUAAUAUUAUAUUAUAUUUAAUUCUUUCUCCUAAUAUUUUGAAGGUGAAUAUAUUAAUCCUCUUUUGAUAUUUCUGGAAGUUUCCUUUUAAAUAUUUAUCUCUUCCUCUUCUUCUCUCUCUCAGUUUCUCUGCAAUUACUGUGUAUAGUUGGGAAAUGAUGAAGACAACAAAUAACAACGUCCAUUAGAUCAAUGACAAGAGAAGGCUUGCGAUGGCAGCAACCACCACCAGCACCACCGAAUUCAUCACGGCGGUCAAUAUUGUCGACAUGCAGACCUCCACCAGGCAUGUUCUAAUUCUGUUUUGGUGGAUUUGUAUUACAAAAUUCUCUCAUACCUUUAAAGGUUAAUUCUUUGAAUUGUAAAAUAUAUUUACAGUAACUGAUGUUCUUGUUUUAUUUCAAUUAUUGGUAAAGAUUUCAAAUUUUUGUUUUAA